CGAACGGGUGAGUAAUACAUCGGAACGUACCCAGUAGUGGGGGAUAGCUCGGCGAAAGCCGGAUUAAUACCGCAUACGACCUACGGGUGAAAGCGGGGGAUCGAAAGACCUCGCGCUAUUGGAGCGGCCGAUGUCGGAUUAGCUUGUUGGUGAGGUAAAAGCUCACCAAGGCGACGAUCCGUAGCUGGUCUGAGAGGACGACCAGCCACACUGGGACUGAGAUACGGCCCAG
rnacentral:rRNA from 1 species